UACGUAGGGUGCAAGCGUUAAUCGGAAUUACUGGGCGUAAAGCGUGCGCAGGCGGUUAUGUAAGACAGAUGUGAAAUGCCCGGGCUUAACCUGGGAACUGCAUUUGUGACUGCAUGGCUAGAGUGUGUCAGAGGGGGGUAGAAUUCCACGUGUAGCAGUGAAAUGCGUAGAUAUGUGGAGGAAUACCGAUGGCGAAGGCAGCCCCCUGGGAUAACACUGACGCUCAUG
rnacentral:rRNA from 1 species